rnacentral:piRNA from 1 species
UAGGAGAAUUUAAAAGGGAAAC